rfam:Marmoricola sp. Leaf446 contig_1, whole genome shotgun sequence.
CGGGCUGGCCGGGCGACCGCGUCGUGCCGGGAGACCGGUCACGUCGAGGAAGGUCCGGGCUCCACAGGACGAGGUGGUGGGCAACACCCACCCGGGGCGACCCGCGGGACAGUGCCACAGAGAACAGACCGCCACCGCCGGCUCGCCGGCGGCGGCAAGGGUGAAACGGUGGUGCAAGAGACCACCAGCGCGGCGGGUGACCGUCGUGGCUCGGCAAACCCCACCUGGAGCAAGACCGAACAGCGAGUGCCCGAGGGCGGUCCGCCCGAGCUCGCGGGUAGGUCGCUGGAGGCGGUCGGCAACGGCCGCCCGAGAUGGAUGGUCGCCAACCGUGGGCGUCGCGAGGCCCCACGGCGAACAGAACCCGGCCUAUGAGCCAGCCCGUCCG